AUUGGGGGGGGGGGGUGAAGUCUGUCAACACUUGUGGUUCUGAUUCUGCUCUUGGCGUUACUGGGUGUUUUGCAGCUGAUUUAGAUAGACAUAUGGUGAGUCUUAUCACAGUUGUUGAUGGCAUUUUACCUCAGGCUAGGAGGUAAUAUUUUUAUUGCCUCAGAAUAGCUGCUAGCUACUGCUUAUAGUGCAGGCUUGAAGUUUGAGCGUCCAGGCAUGGGCGCUGGAAGGAAAAAGCGUCGAGUGCGGGCGGCUGCCCCAUCCCCCUCCGAAGCCCGCUGCGGACGGAGCGAAGAGGCAUUUCGUGCUCAGGAGCUGUGCCCGUGGUGAAAACAACAACAGAAACCACCCCGCUCCCUGCCUGUCCUCGGGGACUGUAAGCCGUGGCAGUGCUGGAUAACCUUGAACUGCAAGCCGGAUCCUGUGGCCUGAUGUGAACUCUGUUUAUCCCCGCACGCUGCUUUCGCUCUGCCAUUUGUUUAGAGUUUCGAGCGUAAGGUUUUGGUCAAAUCCGUCUGCUUCUGAGGCGCCUGAGGUGUCCCCGCUUAGAAGAAAGCUUUUGUAGGCAGAGGACUAAUCGUAUCUGUGUCGUUGCCUACCAGCGCCUGUCUCUUCACUUCUUUGCAGGAGGAAAGAUCUCAGAACUGACGUACGUAAGCUGCGCGGUGCACGACUUCUCCAUUUAGCGCUGCCUGUAGGGAAAAGUACACUGUCUGUUCCCUGGGUUUUAUUCUCCCUUUCCUCUCCUGCUCUUUGAGUUGUGUUCAGCCGUUAAUGGGUGUAGGGGACGUCGUAUUUUCCUUGCGGGUUUGCAGCACAAGGAAAGGUUGGUUUAGGUAGAUAGUGUGCAGUGGUGAUAUAGCCCCGAAUGCCUCGCUGACCUUUGUGUCUUUCUACCCAAAUUAUUUUUGGUCCCCGUGCUACAGGCAGGGCUCUGGAUCACGGACUGGGCAAAGUCUGAAGGCAUGACCCCUCGCUGGAGCACAGGACGCUGGGAUUUGGGCACCCGCCUUCCUUGUUGGAACCUGCCUUUAGUAGGACAACAUCCCCUUUUCUUCGUGUGCUCCGCGCUCUUUCCGCGGGCGUAGCGCCGCGCCGGACGAGCAAUUACUCCCGUGACGUGGCAGGAUUGGCGCCUCGCUCCCAGCAGCCUCCAAAGCCCCGGGAACAGCUCUCUGUGCCGCUGGCUAAUGGGGCAUGCCUUAUAACAUCAUGUGCUACCGCGCCGCUUGGAGUUUCAGGGUUCAGAUGCCGCUAACGAUACGCGAUGGAAGAAAGGCAGGGAGGGGAACGCGGCUUUACAGCUAAACACAACAGCAGCCCGGAUAGAAGUGACACCAAGCACUGAAAUUCUUUCAGUUGCAAGGCCGUGCUGUCACGCUGGGGGAUAUCGGGCCCUCUCAGCGCUUUGGGGGGUUUUCACUGAAAAGUUGCGUGCAGAAUCUUGGGAGGAGAAAGCAAUCUUUAAUAUUUGAUGGUUUGUAAUUGCUGAAGUAUGGACCCCGUUCCCUGACUCCACUUGGUUCCAGUGAGGUGUUGCUCAUCUACAUGGCUCUAACGCUAGUUUUUUCCACACAUUUGCAAUGUUUUACCUCUCUUAACCCUCAUUCCACAUUUUUGCAUCUCUUUUCUUUUCGCCACCUUUCGCUCCCUUUCCCUUCUCCCCUCAGGUUUGUGGCUUGUAAAUGAUGAAUGCAACGUCAAAAAUUCCUUGGUGAAAGUUACAUCUGGGAUGCAUUUGGUCCACAUAUCGCAUGUAAGCCCUUGGCACGGCAGGCUUAUUCUUUUACUGAAAGCAGAGGCUAGACCUCAGCCUGCUCGGCCCCUCGGGGACUGCAGGGAGAUUGUGUCAUGCUGGCUAAUCCUGAUGAUGAGAAUGGAUUGAACGGAGAGAGGAAGUGGAUGCCCUUUGCUUUUCCUGCUCAGGGUUUACCAUGUCAAUUAGUUCAAAAACAAAAACACCAGCACAAAACAGUGGAAGGCAGGAGCUGUGUCUGGUUUUGGUGCAAAAAGUGUGAUGGUACGUGAUGGAAAAAGCAUUUCUGCCAUGCCCUGGGAGAGCGUAGCACGCAGAGCAUAUUGCUCUCUGUGUACCUUGAAAAAAAUCCCUGCUCUACUUUCAACCGAGUAAUCAAAAGAGGAAUUUUUUAUUUUUUUUUUCAAAGCGCAACAUUCAAAAGGAAAUCUCUUAUCUGUUUGAGAAUUCAAUACGCUUUUGGAAACAAAAGAGAAUUAAAUCAGCUACCGUAGGUCUCAGAGCAGCGCUGAUUUUAAUAAUGUAAACUUUCUUCUCUAAUGAGUAAUAAGCAGUUCCAUCUUUCAUGGCCUUUUAAAAUUGCUUUUAGUAAGGGACUGGAUUUGUUUUAAUCCUUUUCAGUAUGUAAAGCCCCAGAUAUUUCAGUCCCUUAGGGGCUCAGUAUUUUCUAGCUCCGUUUUAAAAGGCAAAGGAAAACAGCUUUCAGAAAUUGACAGAAUCUGUGACUGAUAUAGUUUGUUUUUUUU